AGCGUUUCUCGGGUGAUGCAUCCAAGAAUUGGGCUCCCUCCUCUCUUGUUCCUGGGGCAUCACCCGAGAACCACC
rfam:Myotis davidii contig136392, whole genome shotgun sequence.